rnacentral:piRNA from 4 species
GACGAGGUGGCCGAGUGGUUAAGGCUAUGG